UACGAAGGGGGCUAGCGUUGCUCGGAAUGACUGGGCGUAAAGGGCGCGUAGGCGGCUUGCACAGUCAGGCGUGAAAUUCCUGGGCUCAACCUGGGGACUGCGCUUGAGACGUGUGGGCUUGAGUGGGGAAGAGGGUCGUGGAAUUCCCAGUGUAGAGGUGAAAUUCGUAGAUAUUGGGAAGACACCGGUGGCGAAGGCGGCGACCUGGUCCUUGACUGACGCUGAGGCGCGAAAGCGUGGGGAGCAAACAGG
rnacentral:rRNA from 1 species